UUUUUUCCGAGGUGCUCGUGCAACACAGACAAGAGCUCCCCUCUCACUGAGUGUUGGAUCAUAUAAUAUGUGAGUUCCACCUUGGCUUUUAUCUCCAGAUGUUGCAAAUAUCUUUAAGCAAAUAAAACAAGAGCUUAGUCUAGUUCUUACUCCACAAUUUUUAAAUGCAUGCUUGUUCCAGAAUUAAAUAAUAAUAAUAAAGUCAAACAGCUGAUCCUUCUAAUACAUGCCGUUUUGGAAACAGAAGCAUGGCAUAGGGUCUAACCUGAUUUAGUUUUGGGUGCCACAUGCACUGCACAACACUGCAAGUUGGAGAAAUUCCCACCCUGGAAACAAGAUCAAGUUUUUCCAGAUCAUAAAAGCACAACAAACCUCCUGUUGUGCUCUCCCUUUCAACAGACGUUCCAGUCAAGAAGAGCUUCUCAUCAGGGCUAAAUGCUAUAUUUGUUUGAGCAUAGUUAUUUGGAAGAUCCUCAAAAGCCCUCAGAGUAUCUUUCGUUUUUCGCAAAUCCCAAACCUAACAUACAUAAAAAUUUGCAUGAUAUCCACUAUCCAGAAUCAACAUCCAUUCAUUGAUGAAAAUAAAAUGAUAUAUGUGAUGCACUACAAAAAGAUUCAAAUUCCAUUUAGGAGUUAACAUUGAUUUAAUUUUAAUUGUAAAUUAGGAAGCUUAAUAUUUAAUAAAUGUAUUAGGGUUCUUAAUCCUAAUGCAAUUAGGGUUGCGAAAACUCUAUAAAGAGGUGUAGAUUUUUUUUAUUAUUAUUGAGUAGAUUUUGUUAUUGUGAUAUUAUUGACAAUUAAGUAAAUUUUUUAAAAUUAUUCCCUAGAGAAUUUAUGUGUGAUUUUGUUGAAAAUUAGAAUGAUAGGAAAAAAAAGAGAGAGAGAAAAAAAUAACAAGAGAAGGAUUUAUGUGAUUCAGCUAUUGAAAACUAAAGUCCAAAAACACAAAGCCUCAGAGGAUUACAUUUCUCAAGAAUUUUGGGAGAAAUUUUUAAUUUUAUUUCAAUUGAAUUAAUCUUUACAAGGUUUGAUUAUUUAUAUACAAAAAAAUCAACCUAAAUUAGAAAUAUUUACAAUAAGAAUAAAAUCCCUAUAAUUAAGGCUUAUAAUCAAACCUAAUUAAGAUUUACAAAUUUGAAUCCUCCUAAUUAGGAACCUUUUAUGUUUGUCUAACACUCCCCUAAUUAAGAACCUUUUAUGUUUAUCAACACUCCUCUCAAGUUGGUGCGUAGAUAUCACCCAUGCCCAACUUGCAAACCAAAGUGUGAUAGAUCUUGUUGCUGAGUCUGAAAGUCGCAUGUUCUAAUCUCAAUACACCAUUUAUUAACUUCUCUUUAACGAAGUGUCAAUCAAUCUCUAUGUGCUUUGUUCGGUCAUGUUGAACCAGAUUGUGAGCUAUACUGAUGGCAGCUUUGUUAUCACAGUACAAGUACAAAAGGAGUUUGGCUCUCUUCAACAGUUUUAAUUCCUCUAACAAUCUCUGCAACCAGAGGAGUUCACAAACACCUUGUGUCAUCGCUCUAUAUUCCGACUCAGCACUUGAUCGAGUAACAACACUUUGCUUUUAACUUCUCCAAGUGACAAGAUUUCCUCCCAUGCAGUAACAACUAAUUGACCUCCGAUCAUGGGAUCCAAUCCAAUCUGCAUCUGAAUGCAUGAAUACAUAUAUGCAAAGAUGACUAUGUUUAGAGAAUAUGAGAUCUUUUCCAAGAGCAGACUUUAAGUAUCGAAAAUGCGAAAAACAGCUUGCAUAUAAGACUUACGAGUAUCAUGCAUAAAUUGACUGAUUAAGCUGACUGCAUAUGCUAUGCUUGGUCGCGUAUGCAAAAGAUAAAUUAGUUUGCCUACCAAUCUCUGAUAUCUGUCAAUAUCCAUUGAUUCAGUAAUCUUGCUUGUAGCUUGUGAUUGCUCUCAAUGAGAGUUUAGACUGGUUUGCAAUCUAACAUACCAAUUUCUUCCAAAAGAUUCAGAAUGUAUUUUCUCUAAGAAAUAAAGAUUCUCUUCUUUGAUUUGGCAACCUCGAUUCCCAAAAAAUAUUAAAGUUUUCCUAGAUCUUUAAUUUCAAACUUCAGAGCCAAAAGCUUUUUCAGCCGAGUCAUCUCUACAGUGUCAUCCCCUGUACUAUGUUACUUUUGGCUCUUUCAACUGAGUCAUCUCUUCAGUAUCAUCUCUUGUCAUUACUAUGUCACUAUGAAAAGAGUAAUUUUACCCUUGUGAUGUGUGAUAAAUAAAAUAUGGUCAGUAUUAUUCUGUUGAUAGCCAAAAAAAACCCAUAGCUCUGCUGUAUCCAUCAAACCAAGCUCUGGAUGACUCUUCAACCCAUACAAAGCUUUCUUGGCCUGCACACUUUUCCUUAUAUUUUUUCAUCAGCAAAUCUAGGAAGAAUUUUCAUAUACACUUCCUCCUCCAAGUUUCCGUGGAAGAAUACAUUUUUCACAUCAAAUUGUUGUAGGUCCCAGUCAAAUUAUCAACACAAGAUAGCAAUACUCUGAUUGAGUUCGUUUUGGCAAUAUGGCAAAUGUCUCCUAGUAAUCCAUUCUAUAGGUUUGAGUGUAUCCCUUGGCAACUAGUCUGUUCUUGAAUAUUUCAAUUGAUCCAUCUGCUUUGUGUUUCAUAGUGAACACCCAUUUACAGCCAACUGAUUUUUUUUCAGGUGGAAGAUACACCAACUUUCAGAUCUCAUUUUUAGCCAAGACUUUCAUUUCUUCGAUCAUUGCUCCCUUCCAAUUGCAAUCUUUGAAAGCUUCCUUUCAAUCUUGUGGGAUAGACACAGAAGAAAUAACCAAGGCAAAAACUUUAUAGGAUGAAGACAGAAUCAUAAGACAAAGUUAGAAAUAGAGUGCUUUGUGCAAGACCUAACUCAUUUUCUUUGAGUAAUUGGUUUAUCUAGAUCAUCAAUAAGCUCAAGGUUUAGGAAUGGCUCACCAGAUGGAGGAGAGGAAGACUUAUGACACUAAGUAGGAAUCAUAAGAUAUAAAGUUAGAAAUAGAGUGCUUUGUGCAAGACCUAACUCAUUUUCUUUGAGCAAUUGGUUUAUCUAGAUCAACAAUAAGCACAAGGUUUAGGAAUGGCUCACCAGAUGGAGGAGAAGAAGAUUUAUGACACUGAGUAGGCUGCACAAUGGCUUUUUCUGCUUCUAUUGUGUCUCUUCUUGAGUAUCUCCUUAAAUCUCCCCUAUAUAGUAGCCUCCUCUAAAGUAAAACGCUCUAGAAUUAUAGGACUAGGAAUCACCUCUUCUCUCUCAUUGUUCUCCCCUUGAAGAGGUGAUGAAGUAGUACUGAAGUAAAGUUCAAUCCCUCUAAACGUAACAUCCAUACUGACAAAAUAUUUUCUAAAUGGACUAGGAAUCACCUCUUCUCUCUCAUUGUUCUCCCCUUGAAGAGGUGAUGAAGUAAUACUGAAGUAAAGUUCAAUCUCUCUAAACGUAACAUCCAUACUGACAAAAUAUUUUCUAAAUGGAGAGUGAUAACACUUGCAACCCUUCUGUACGGAAGAAUAUUCAACAAACACACAUUUAAAAGCCCUCUGAUCAAGCUUCCCACCUAUUCCCACCUAUUCUAUUAUGAACAAAAUACGUGCAUCCAAACACCUUUGGUAAGAGCACUGACAAAUAAAAGAUUAACAGAAAAAUGAAGAACAUGGAAAAUAAAGGAUAGCUUAAUAUUGAAUGUACAAACAAUUAAUCCAGUUCCAGUGACAGGAAUAAAAGAAACAUUGGCUAUUCUGACUGUGUCCUUUUAUAGAUACGAAAGGUAAUUAAGGAAGCUUUUAGAGGGACUUGUCACGUGUAUUUGCACCAGAAUUAAUAAUCCAUGGAGCAGUAUAAAAAACACGUACAUCACCUCCAUUAGUAUCUUUUUUAUCUAACAUUUUAAAGGUAAAAAAGGGAUCAGCAACACAAAGAGGCAGGAACGACACCUCGAAAAACCCAAAGGAGAAUCCGGUCACGAAACAGGGGCGGUCAGAGGUGCGACAUGCCAGAAAGAGGGCUAGAAAGGAGCGCCGACAGCAAAGGACGCCGAAGAAAGGCUCACACGCCGGUGCGUGGAAGGAGACGCAAAAGCUGUGGCGGCGCGUGAGGACGCAC
rnacentral:lncRNA from 1 species